rnacentral:rRNA from 1 species
UACCAGCACCCCGAGUGGUCGGGACGUUUAUUGGGCCUAAAGCAUCCGUAGCCGGUCCUACAAGUCUUCCGUUAAAUCCAGCUGCUUAACAGAUGGGCUGCGGAAGAUACUAUGGAGCUAGGAGGCGGGAGAGGCAAGCGGUACUCGAUGGGUAGGGGUAAAAUCCGUUGAUCCAUUGAAGACCACCAGUGGCGAAGGCGGCUUGCCAGAACGCGCUCGACGGUGAGGGAUGAAAGCUGGGGGAGCAAACCGG